rnacentral:rRNA from 1 species
GUCGAGAAUCUUCCGCAAUGGACGAAAGUCUGACGGAGCGACGCCGCGUGGUGGAUGAAGUCCUUAGGGACGUAAACACCUUUUAUGAGGGAAGAAGUAUAUUGACGGUACCUCAUGAAUAAGGGGCUCCCAAUUCUGUGCCAGCAGGAGCGGUAAUACAGAAGCCCCGAGCAUUACCCGGAUUUACUGGGCGUAAAGGGUGUGUAGGUGGUGUGAUUAGUCCUGCGUAAAAUCUUCAAGCUCAACUUGGAGUCCGCGUGGGAAACGGUCACACUCGAGAAGGUGAGAGGUUCAGGGAACUCAUGGUGUAGGGGUGAAAUCCGUUGAUAUCAUGGGGAACACCAAAUGCGAAGGCACUGAACUGGCACUUUUCUGACACUGAGACACGAAAGCGUGGGUAGCGAAUCGGAUUAGAAACCCGGGUAGUCC